rnacentral:lncRNA from 1 species
AUGUGUGUACUGUGCCAGCACGUACAACUGAGCACACUUAGAGAGGCGGGAAGCACCCAAGACUUUUAUCAUUCCUGUUAUCUUUGUUUCCUGUGUUGCCUUCCUGUGGCCAGAGGUGCAAAAUGGUUAUCUAAGAAGGAAAUGAGCAGACAAGGCUACUGGGUGAUUCACAAUGAACUGUAAAGUCAUCACAGUUUGUAUUUGCCAUCAUGGAGUUGAUGAAUAUCUGAAGAUCACCUUGAGGGUUGAGAGAAGGUGAGUUCUGUAAAUAUUAACUCUUGGAUACCUGUAAACAUCUAAUUGGAAGUGUUGACAGGACAGUUUGAUUAUCAGAUCUGUAGCUCAAAGUUGAAUCCAAGCUAUAGGUAAGUUUGGAAUGAAUCAUAUAUGGAUGGCAAUUGAAGCCAUAACCUUUAAGAGAUAACGAAAGGAGAGAGUAUAAAAAUAAAAGAAUAAAUUUGAAAUCUGAAUUGAGAUAA